rnacentral:rRNA from 1 species
GAUGAACGCUGGCGGCGUGCCUAAUCCAUGCAAGUCGAGCGAACAGACGAGGAGCUUGCUCCUCUGACGUUAGCGGCGGACGGGUGAGUAACACGUGGAUAACCUACCUAUAAGACUGGGAUAACUUCGGGAAACCGGAGCUAAUACCGGAUAAUAUAUUGAACCGCAUGGUUCAAUAGUGAAAGACGGUUUUGCUGUCACUUAUAGAUGGAUCCGCGCCGCAUUAGCUAGUUGGUAAGGUAACGGCUUACCAAGGCGACGAUGCGUAGCCGACCUGAGAGGGUGAUCGGCCACACUGGAACUGAGACACGGUCCAGACUCCUACGGGAGGCAGCAGUAGGGAAUCUUCCGCAAUGGGCGAAAGCCUGACGGAGCAACGCCGCGUGAGUGAUGAAGGUCUUCGGAUCGUAAAACUCUGUUAUUAGGGAAGAACGAAUGUGUAAGUAACUAUGCACGUCUUGACGGUACCUAAUCAGAAAGCCACGGCUAACUACGUG